rnacentral:sRNA from 1 species
GACGGAAUGACAACAGCAUCUGUACCUACUAUGCCAGGCCGUCUGUACCUACUAUGCUCAUCUGUUGUUAAAGCCAGUAUCCAGAGGUUUGUUACAGCAACACAAAGUGGACUGAGACAGGAGUUGGAGGAGACAUCGAGGCAGAAGAAAUGUGAAAGGUUAGAAGAAGGAAGGUCAGAGGUGCUUGAGGCUUCGUGAGAGCUUACGUGACGAUAAUGUCUGUAUUGUCUAAGGCCAAACCUCCCCAUCUCCACAUCAAUGAAAACGUUUUAAGAAGAAAAACCAUCCUAGCCAGCAGGUUUCUGAAGGCUGCAUGGAUCCCACAGGAUGGCUGUUCUGGGAGGAUGUUCUGGACCCUCUAGGAAGUCACAGGUUCCUGGCCUGAGAACCUGGGAAGACAAGAUUCUGGUAUAAAUUCUGGAGUCCAAAGCCUAAACAGUCCGAAGUCCUGGUUUCCAAGAGCACAAGAAAAGGGCUGUUGCUCUCAGAAAGACAAGGUGAGUGAGUCAUGGCUCAUGUGUGGAAGUCAGAGGACAGCUCAGAGCAGCCAGCUCUCUCCUUCGAUCACGCAGCCUCUGGAGAUCAAACCCAGCCCACCAGGCUUGGUGGCACAUGCCUUCAACUGUUGAGUCAUCUUGCUGGCUCCAAUAAAGGUUGAUUUUUUUUUAAGUCAGUAGGCAGACAACAUAUAAAUCAAAUUGGAUACCAAGUCAAACCAAUAUCCACAAAACGCCAUGUCAGGAUGGCAUGUUAUUCAUUUUAGGAAACACCAAGAAUUUUAGCGAUAUUGACUGAAUUGAAAUAAAAAGUCUCCUGAACCCUGUAAGAACUUACCAUCUCUCCGGCAUCAUUUCCUAAACGUACCACACUUACGUUCUGUGUCAUGGCCAUGACAAAGACUCCCUUGUCACCCACUGUCCUUAAUCUUCCUCCCUUAGAAUGCUUUUAGCUGAGGACCUCUGAAGUCAGCCUUCUCUGUGUUUUGUUUUUAAGUGUUAUUUCUUCAAAGGAGCCCAGUGCCAGGAACGGGUCACCUCUGUUGGAGCUGUUGGCCAGUGAAAUCCCACAAGUCUGCCUUCAAACAAAAGACCAAGAAGCUAUGUGUUGGGUUAGCCUCAAGAACUUGACAAUACGAUCUGAUUACUGAAGACUCCACAUAAGACCAAUGAGAAAUCAAGCUGAUACCCACAGAGUCCAUCCCUACCUAAGGAGCUCUUGACAACUGAUAACUUCUUGGGGGCGGGGAGGGUGGGGAGUUGGUUGACUUGCAAUCAUGCUCUGUUGGGUGCCCUGAACCCAAGUGCACAUGGGCAGAACACUGCAUUUGCUUUUUUUGUUUUUUUUUUUUUAAGACAUAAAGUUGGGUGCUUAGGGAACAGGGUAGAUAUGGUAGGAGCUGGGAGUAGAUAUCAAUAUGAUAAAAAUAUCCUACAAAAUUCUCAAAGAACUAAUAAAAACUGGGGGCGGGGAAGAAAGGUCUUCUAGACACUCCCCAGUUGUCAGCUUCCUAUCCACCUCCUCAUAUCACCCGGCUGUUUGCUUUGCCCCAUUUGUAACUAAGCUCUAUCUUUCCUGUGUGUAGACUGACAUCUCUGCACACAUGCAAGAUCUUUUACCCUGUAGGUGUCCAGUUCAUCCUGCUACAUGGGUGAGGAAGUACAGAGAUGAACCCAAGUCUCUGGAACAGGCACCCUGUCUCUCACUGGGCUCGACACCUGGUUUUCUGCUGCAACUCAUCCCACCCAAACCAGCCGCACUUCCCAGCCACACAAAGCACCACCCCACACUGAGGACAGCAGAGGGAGUCAUGCAGAUAGUGAGGAGGCAGCUUUUCCUCCUUAUCCAAUAGGGAAAAAAAAAAUCCUCAAGAGUGACCUCAACGCCUGCUACAAAUUAGUUGCCAAAAAAAUAUUUGCUUAACUCUUGAACUGUGUGCUUGGGAAAUAAAAGGGAAUUUAUUCUUGCUUUGUAACCAGACCCUUGAGAAAUACCCGCUGUACUUCCCCAGCUCCCUUGAGAAUUACCUGGACACCCUAUGCCCUGCCCUUUCUUAUCCCUUCUAUUAAAUGAGAUAUUUGUGUUUUAAAUGAAGACCAUUGUUGGCCCAUCAUCGGUGGGAAAGCAUCACUGUGCACACAUUCCUCCUGUAAUAAAAAAAAAUAAAUCCCUUAAGCCUA